rnacentral:rRNA from 1 species
CGCGUAGGUGGUUAGAUCAGUCGGAUGUGAAAGCCCAGGGCUUAACCUUGGAAUUGCAUUCGAUACUGUCUGACUAGAGUAUGGUAGAGGGAAGCGGAAUUUCCGGUGUAGCGGUGAAAUGCGUAGAUAUCGGAAAGAACAUCAGUGGCGAAGGCGGCUUCCUGGACUAAUACUGACACUGAGGUGCGAAAGCGUGGGGAGCAAACA